rnacentral:rRNA from 1 species
UUCGGGCCUCUCGCGUCAGGAUAUGCCCAGGUGGGAUUAGCUAGUUGGUGAGGUAAGGGCUCACCAAGGCGACGAUCCCUAGCUGGUCUGAGAGGAUGAUCAGCCACACUGGAACUGAGACACGGUCCAGACUCCUACGGGAGGCAGCAGUGGGGAAUAUUGCACAAUGGGCGCAAGCCUGAUGCAGCCAUGCCGCGUGUAUGAAGAAGGCCUUCGGGUUGUAAAGUACCUUUCAGUCGUGAGGAAGGUGGUGCAGUUAAUAGCUGUAUUACUUGACGUUAGCGACAGAAGAAGCACCGGCUAACUCCGUG